CCUGGUUGGAAUCACGUGGUCUGUGCCCUCUGCAGUCAGUGACAGACAUGUCUAGAAAUAGCAGAAUAGUGCUCAUUUUCGGGGGUUUUAUCACUGCAGUGGCAGCAGCUUUUUACCCUAUAUAUUUUUACCCUAUGAAGCACAUAGAUGAAUACAGUAAGUGGAAUUGGGAUGUAUGUAAAGCAGCAGUGGUGGUGAAGGACUUGGGUUGCACUGCAUUAUAUAAC